rnacentral:rRNA from 1 species
GACGAACGCUGGCGGCGUGCUUAACACAUGCAAGUCGAACGGAAAGGCCCUGCUUUUGUGGGGUGCUCGAGUGGCGAACGGGUGAGUAACACGUGAGUAACCUGCCCUUGACUUUGGGAUAACUUCAGGAAACUGGGGCUAAUACCGGAUAGGAGCUCCUGCUGCAUGGUGGGGAUUGGAAAGUUUCGGCGGUUGGGGAUGGACUCGCGGCUUAUCAGCUUGUUGGUGGGGUAGUGGCUUACCAAGGCUUUGACGGGUAGCCGGCCUGGGAGGGUGACCGGCCACAUUGGGACUGAGAUACGGCCCAGACUCCGACGGGAGGCAGCAGUGGGGAAUAUUGCACAAUGGGCGGAAGCCUGAUGCAGCAACGCCGCGUGCGGGAUGACGGCCUUCGGGUUGUAAACCGCUUUCGCCUGUGACGAAGCGUGAGUGACGGUAAUGGGUAAAGAAGCACCGGCUAACUACGUG